GAGUUUGAUCGUGGCUCAGGAUGAACGCUGGCGGCGUGCCUAAUACAUGCAAGUCGAGCGAACAGACGAGGAGCUUGCUCCUCUGACGUUAGCGGCGGACGGGUGAGUAACACGUGGAUAACCUACCUAUAAGACUGGGAUAACUUCGGGAAACCGGAGCUAAUACCGGAUAAUAUAUUGAACCGCAUGGUUCAAUAGUGAAAGACGGUUUUGCUGUCACUUAUAGAUGGAUCCGCGCCGCAUUAGCUAGUUGGUAAGGUAACGGCAUACCAAGGCAACGAUGCGUAGCCGACCUGAGAGGGUGAUCGGCCACACUGGAACUGAGACACGGUCCAGACUCCUACGGGAGGCAGCAGUAGGGAAUCUUCCGCAAUGGGCAAAGCCUGACGGAGCAACGCCGCGUGAGUGAUGAAGGUCUUCGGAUCGUAAAACUCUGUUAUUAGGAAGAACAAAUGUGUAAGUAACUAUGCACGUCUUGACGGUA
rnacentral:rRNA from 1 species